GCGACAAAUUUUGGGGGGCGCCAAGGUCUGAAGUUGGAGUCUCUUGCCUCUCAUGGCGCAAACCCCCAGAACUGUGUUCUACGCUAGAGGUGGAAUACUUCCACCGCCAAACGUAAAGCUAAAGGAAAGAUGAAAUUCUUAAUAUAAUUUUACUUGGGAUCAGCAAAAAACUAACACUUGAUAUUGCUUCCCUCAAGUGGGCGCCUCAAUAUUUUAGCCCGGGGUGUCAGUAGCCCUUACGCCGGCACUGGCCUUAACAAAAAAAGGCUUGUUUUGCUCUAUCUGAGUGUCUUGUCUAUUCAUUGAUAUUUAUCAAAUCCUUUUAUUGUCAACCUUUUUUUAUUCUCCUAAAGUGGUUGCAAAGCUUAUUAUUAGGCUCAAUCACAUCAAAAAUUGGUUUUUAGCAUAUUUUGCUAAAAAAUCUUGAUCGUUAUUAAGACAUUACAAACAGAACAUAGGUAUAUUUUAUCUGUCUAUAAUACAUCACGUCAAGGUCGUAUGUUUGAUUUAUGUUUACUCUUACGAACUUAAUUGUAGCUGUUAGUUUUAUUAUCAUUGAACAUAAAUAGUUACCUACAGGACGUGCGUUCAUACAUAAAUCAUACAAAAACCAACAAGUCAACUAAUGAGUGGUUAUGUUAAUAAGUUCAAACUGACAUUAUCGAUCACAUGUCAAAAAUAGGAUAAAUAGAGCAAUUAUGUACAUACACAGUGAUUAUAUACUUACUUACCUGUAGCUACUAGGACCACCUUCGCCCGUUUUGUUUUAUUUGUGAUGUACAAUCAGCUACAACGGCGUUAUGCCUGUCAUUACAUACCAGACAAAGAAAAGCCCAUUGACAUCGGGGCCACGAUUUGAGAAUGCCAGCGGAAUCGGUGCAGGGAAUAAAUAAAACCGGUCAAGUUCAAGACAACCUCGUGCGUCGAAGGCUUGUAAGAUCUAGUUUGCAAUGGCGAAACUGGACUAUAAUAGCUGGAGAAUGUUUGAAUAUACCUGUCUGGAGUCCUGGUCCUGCACCUGGAAGGCGGCGGGGAGCGGGACGAGGCUCGCAGC